rnacentral:rRNA from 1 species
CCUACGGGAGUCAGCAGUGGGGAAUAUUGCGCAAUGGGCGAAAGCCUGACGCAGCGACGCCGCGUGAGGGAUGAAGGUCUUCGGAUCGUAAACCUCUGUCAGCAGGGAAGAACGGUCACUGUGCUAAUCAGCAGUGAAUUGACGGUACCUGCAAAGGAAGCACCGGCAAACUCCGUGCAAGCAGCCGCGGUAAUACGGAGGGUGCGAGCGUUAAUCGGAAUUACUGGGCGUAAAGCGCUCGUAGGCGGGAUGUCAAGGAAAGGGUGAAAUCACCGCGCGCAACGUGGGAACUGCCUUUGAAACUGGCAAACUGGAGUGUGUGAGAGGAUAGUGGAAUUCCAGGUGUAGGAGUGAAAUCCGUAGAUAUCUGGAGGAACAUCAGUGGCGAAGGCGACUAUCUGGCACAUAACUGACGCUGAGGAGCGAAAGCGUGGGUAGCAAACAGGAUUAGAUACCCUUGUAGUC